GACGAACCGUGCGAACGUUAUUCGGAAUCACUGGGCUUAAAGCGCGUGUAGGCGGGCCGCCGCGUCGGCUGCUGAAAUCCCCCGGCUCAACCGGGGAACGGGCACCGAUACGGGCGGCCUCGAGGGGGGUAGGGGGGUCUGGAACUUCCGGUGGGGCGGUGAAAUGCGUUGAGAUCGGAAGGAACGCCCGUGGCGAAAGCGAGGCCCUGGACCCUUACUGACGCUGAGACGCGAAAGCCAGGGGAGCGAACGGG
rnacentral:rRNA from 1 species